AGCUUUGUGUAGUGUCAGUAUCAUAGCCAAUGAGGUUUAUCCGAGGUGCGAUUAUUGCUAAUUGUAUGAAAGCCCCAAAUUAA
rnacentral:snRNA from 1 species